AUGUGUUUUGGAUCUUUUGAUCAAUCUUUUUCGAUCAUCCCGAUGGUCGGUUGGAGUAACGAGGAGGAAUUCCGCUUGAUCAACCUUUAUGAAAGGUUCCCGGUGCUUUGGAAUUCGGGAAACUGUGACAACAGUUCAGUGAAGAAAUACGAAGCUUGGAGGGAAAUUGCCAUGGCCCUGGGUAAACCGGUUGAUGAAGUUCAGAAAAAAAUGAGCGGUUUAAAGCAUUUCCUCAGAUGGGAAAAAGAGAUGGUCAAGAAGCUGAGCCAAAUUGAAACAGCAGGGCUUAAUACCGAAUCAACCUCAUUGGCGUUCAAAAGACUGAAUUUUCUAACGGAUGGAAAUAAGUCACAAGAAAGAGUUAAUUCAAAAAUGGGAAAUUGAGGAAUUUCAAUCGACACGCGAGAGCCGAGGCGGAGAAUGAAAUCACAAAAGUUCUCUUACGUGCGGAAAUGGACCUUGUCGAAUCACCAGCUUCUUCAGAAAUUUCCUGGAUGGGCUCUGAAUCCUUCAGCAGCCGCCUUCCUAGCAGCACACCUCACAAAAGUCACCACCCGCGGUCGUUGAAUCCUAGAAGUUUAGCUUUUAAUGAAACCUGUCAGCCUCAUUCUCCUUCGGAAUUUUUACCCAUGUCCGAUGUCAUGUGGGACACUACCUCUUGGACGAUAAACGCAUCUUCAUAAUUAUUAACGUUGGUGAAUUAAAAAAAUUGAAGAAUCCUCGAUCUUAUACAAGAAAAAAACGCGUAGUAGAAAAAUUGGGUUUAGAAUCACAAAGAAAAAAGACGCACACACACCACUCACCCUUACCAACGCACCAUAAAGAGCACAUCUUAAGAAUGUAAUACAUUACCACGUUAAUUGUUACAUUUUAAAUUUUUGUCUUUUUUCUUGUUUCCAUGUUUAAGUACCUAUAUAUUUUUACUAAUGCAUCGUAAUGUUUUUUACAUUGUCUUUUUUAUAAUUUUAUGAGUAAACAGCUCAAAU
rnacentral:lncRNA from 1 species